rnacentral:rRNA from 1 species
CACAUCGACGGAGUGGUUUGGCACCUCGAUGUCGGCUCAUCGCAUCCUGGGGCUGAAGUAGGUCCCAAGGGUUGGGCUGUUCGCCCAUUAAAGCGGUACGCGAGCUGGGUUCAGAACGUCGUGAGACAGUUCGGUCCCUAUCCGGCGUGGGCGUAGGAUAUUUGAGAGGAGCUGCCCUUAGUACGAGAGGACCGGGGUGGACUGGCCGCUGGUGGAUCUGUUGUAUUACCAAAUGCAUAGCAGAGUAGCCAAGCCGGGACGGGAUAAACGCUGAAGGCAUCUAAGCGUGAAGCCCCCCUCAAGAUGAGAUAUCCCAUAACGUCAAGUUAGUAAGACCCCUUGAAGACGACGAGGUAGAUAGGGCAGAGGUGGAAGUGCGGUAACGCAUGGAGCUGACUGUUACUAAUAGGUCGAGGGCAUAACCAAG